rnacentral:rRNA from 1 species
GUACGGGAGGCAGCAGUGGGGAAUUGUUCGCAAUGGGCGCAAGCCUGACGACGCAACGCCGCGUGGAGGAUGAAGAUCUUCGGGUCGUAAACUCCUUUCGAUCGGGACGAACGGCCUCCGGGUGAACAAUCCGGGGGAGUGACGGUACCGAGAGAAGAAGCCCCGGCUAACUCCGUGCCAGCAGCCGCGGUAAUACGGGGGGGGCAAGCGUUGUUCGGAAUUACUGGGCGUAAAGGGCUCGUAGGCGGCCAACUAAGUCAGACGUGAAAUCCCCCGGCUUAACCGGGGAACUGCGUCUGAUACUGGAUGGCUUGAAUCCGGGAGAGGGAUGCGGAAUUCCAGGUGUAGCGGUGAAAUGCGUAGAUAUCUGGAGGAACACCGGUGGCGAAGGCGGCAUCCUGGACCGGCAUUGACGCUGAGGAGCGAAAGCCAGGGGAGCAAACGGGAUUAGAUACCCCGGUAGC